rnacentral:rRNA from 1 species
AUUGAACGCUGGCGGCAGGCCUAACACAUGCAAGUCGAGCGAGCGGCGGACGGGUGAGUAAUGCCUGGGAAUUGCCCAGUCGAGGGGGAUAACAGUUGGAAACGACUGCUAAUACCGCAUACGAUUGGAUUGCCCAGGUGGGAUUGGCUAGUUGGUGAGGUAAUGGCUCACCAAGGCGACGAUCCCUAGCUGGUCUGAGAGGAUGAUCAGCCACAAUGGAACUGAGAAGCGGUCAAGAAUCCUACGAGAGGCAGCAGUGGGGAAUAUUGGACAAUGGGGGAAACCCUGAUGCAGCCAUACCGCGUGUGUGAAGAAGGCCUUCGGGUGGUAAAGCACUUUCAGCGAGGAGGCGUUACUCGCAGAAGAAGCACCGGCUAACUCCGUGCCAGCAGCCGCGGUAAUUC